AUUAAUUUAUACUUAUAGGUAAUGCUGCUUGUAAAUCCUACCAAAGCUGUUACUGUACCAUAUACAAUUUGGAAUAUCAUGACAUCACGCGGCUUAUUGCUUAUUGCUUACAGCUGAUUAGGUCUAUUAAAUUAUGCGAUAUGGAGUCAAUGUCGUCACUAAAAUACUAGACCUGUCGGAUUCUGUAUCUGAUGUUUUUUUUUCGCAUUUCAUACGAAUUACUAGUGCGAUGGAUGUUAAAAAACUCAUUGAUGAAAUCGAAAUUUAUUUGACAAAAUGUAUGCGAUAAAAAGAAGGAAAUUAUUUUUAAUCCAUUUAAAUGUGGGCUUAAAAUUUCGAAUUUAGAUAAAAAAAGACUUAAAUAGAAAGUAUUAUUAACGGGAAGUUUAACCAAAUAUGCACCUAUCCAAGAAGAAAUGUUUAUGCAAGGCGAAUAUAUGUUACAACCUCUCUAAUGACAAAUGAAGAGUGAUUGUGAAAAUAAAAAAGAACAAUUUCAUUUACAAAGGAAAAAUAUAUAACUGAACGACAUUACUGAGGAUAUUUUCUUAAUAAAAUAGAAUACUAGAACAAGGAAAGUCACCAAUGUUGCAAAUUUUAUU